rnacentral:rRNA from 1 species
CCCUUAGAUGUUCUGGGCUGCACGCGUGCUACACUGAUAUUGCCAAUAUGUCAUUCUUAUCCGAAAUGGAUUGGGUAAUCAAGUAAUGAAAUUUCAUGCUUGGAAUCGGUAAUUGCAAUUUUAUCGUGAACGAGGAAUUCCUAGUAAGCACUAGUCAUCAGCUAAUGUUGAUUAUGUCCCUGCCCUUUGUACACACCGCCCGUCGCUACUACUGAUUGGGUGUUCAAGUGAGAUGCUUAGACCCUUGUUGCAUGGUUCAUUAUUGUGCUCCGAAAGGAAAAAGUUUCAAGCUUGAGUGUCUAGAGGAAGGAAAAGUCGUAACA